CCUACGGGUGGCUGCAGUGAGGAAUAUUGGUCAAUGGGCGAGAGCCUGAACCAGCCAAGUCGCGUGAAGGAUGACGGCCCUACGGGUUGUAAACUUCUUUUGUCAGGGAGCAAUUGAGUCCACGUGUGGGCUUAGCGAGAGUACCUGAAGAAAAAGCAUCGGCUAACUCCGUGCCAGCAGCCGCGGUAAUACGGAGGAUGCGAGCGUUAUCCGGAUUUAUUGGGUUUAAAGGGUGCGUGGGCGGACUAUCAAGUCAGCGGUAAAAAUUCGGGGCUCAACCCCGUCGUGCCGUUGAAACUGAUGUUCUUGAGUGCGCCAGAGGUAUGCGGAAUGCGCGGUGUAGCGGUGAAAUGCAUAGAUAUCGCGCAGAACCCCGAUUGCGAAGGCAGCAUACCGGCGCCCAACUGACGCUGAAGCACGAAAGCGUGGGUAUCGAAUAGGAUUAGAUACCCGGGUAGUC
rnacentral:rRNA from 1 species